UAGAAAAAGUAUAAAAACAAGAAAAAGACAGAGAGAAGAAGUAUAAAAACUGUUUAGGAAGCAUCUGUACGCGCUCUUUUCCCCCAGCUUCCUUUCUGCAUAUAUUCUUUUAGUCUUCCUUUCACUUUCUCGUUAUCUAUCUCUCUUAAUACUUCAGGUAGGUCUGUUA
rnacentral:ribozyme from 1 species